rnacentral:lncRNA from 1 species
AAAAAUCUAGAGGGUUUUAAUUUAAGAGCUGCUAUAACCUCAAGGAGGGAAAUUCAAAAGAGCAGUCCAAGGCAGGACUUAGCUACACGCUCCCCACAGUAGCAAACAAUAAAGCAGUUUAUGAUUCAAGAUAGAAGAUUGUGCCACAAAGAUCUCAGAAGCCUUAGGGAACAAAUGACAAUCUUAGACCUGUUGCGAUUUCUGCAAGAAAUGUGCACGGACACUCAACAAAGCAGGUGCAUGCAUUGGGUGCUGAUUGUUUAAUUUUUUUUUUUUCCAUUGAGACACUCUGGUUUUGAAUAAGCGGUACCCACAUCAAACCCACUAAGGUGUGUGUGAUAAGGGUGCUGAAAAGUCAGAUUAGCCCAGCAGUGAGGAGGUAAAGGGCAUUGGAAGGGGGUGGGAGGCUCAGGUGAUGCUUGUGAUCACCUGGGGAGGACUCAGAGCCUGCUGGGGCUCAUAGGGUGAACGCAGGAGGCGUGCUGGUUCUUUGCAGCUAGAGGAGGAACUUCUUCACCCUAAGGCUUGAAGGUAGUAGGAGCCUGCGAAGAGCUUCCUGAUGAGGAGUCCUGGCUGUCCUGAUCAUAGUUUGUGGAUCAGAACCAAGUGUCAGGUGGGCCAGGGGAUUGGUGUCAAAAUCAGAAGUCUGAAUCUGGUCUGUGAACUUGGGAGCAUCUCAAGCUGAAGGAUACAGUACUCUCAAGUGAAGUGAGAAAAUCGUGUCUGUGACAAAUGCCAGCUGGUGGCAGCUGCAGGAGCAGAGGAUUUCAGCCCUCCCACGUUCAGCACUUGGGACACACGUGGCGGAAUGGUGCCUGCAAGAAGAGGAGAUUUUCUGUGGUAUUAAUUACAGCUCCCCAGUGGCCUUCAGGCAGAAACAUCACGUCUCGUCAUGGCUUUGCAUUCUAGAACAGGUCUCACAAAGGAUCAUCGUGAAAGCAUCCAGGAGCCAUGCCUGGAUCUCAGCAAAAUCCUACUUUAUCUGUAAAAAUGUGGUUCCGAUGCCUAUUAGUUUUCACACUUCUGGGCAGGGGAAGUUUGAAGUUUCAAGGCAGUUACUACCAUGCCAACACUAUGAUAAACAGCCAAGCAACUGUGCUCUAUCUCUGGUAAAAGAUAAGCUGGAAUAUGGAGAGUGAUUAAGAGUUGUGUUCAAAAUUUAUCUAAUCAACUUGGAGAGCAGGUCAAUGUGUUGUCUUGAUAAAAUAGUUAUGGUAAAGUUGCAAGUUUGAGCAAGUUUGACCUCGGCAUGCUUGCUGUGCAGCCAGUGUAUCUCUUUUGAUUAUUCCCUGUGAAGGUUUAGAGGAUAAUAAAAUGAAUACAGAGGGGAAGGUAGAACA